UAUCCUACGGGAGGCAGCAGUGAGGAAUAUGGACAAUGGGUUAGAGCCUGAUCCAGCCAUCCCGCGUGAAGGACGACGGCCCUAUGGGUGUAAAUUCUUUGUACAGGGAUAAACCUACCAUCGUGAGGGUAGAGAAGGUACGUAAGAAAAGCACGGCAAUUUCG
rnacentral:rRNA from 1 species